rnacentral:rRNA from 1 species
CCCUUAGAUGUUCUGGGCCGCACGCGCGCUACACUGAUUCAUGCAACAAGUUUUGUCCUUGGCUGAUAGGCCUGGGUAAUCUUUGAACGUGAAUCGUGAUGGGGAUAGACGAUUGCAAUUAUUCAUCUUCAACGAGGAAUUCCUAGUAAACGCAAGUCAUCAGCUUGCAUUGAUUACGUCCCUGCCCUUUGUACACACCGCCCGUCGCACCUACCGAUUGAAUGGUCCGGUGAAAUCUUCGGAUCUGAGAGAUGUCUGAUUAAUUUCGGACGCCUUUUGGAAAAGUUGUUUAAACCUUACCAUUUAGAGGAAGGUGAANUCGUANCA